UUUCUGCCAACUACUCCUCUGUUUAAUACAAACAAUGCGGUGGUAUCACAUGCUCAACGUUCUUCUGAUCCGAAGUCCAAAAAAAGGAAAAAGGUUACAACAGAGUCCGAGGAUCUUGGUCAGAAGGCUAUGCAUUUGCAGUCCCAUCUAGUAUUAUCAACUCCUUCUGUCAGCAGCCAUAUAUCUACUGCUGUCGCCACUGCAACUUCUGCUGUUAAUGUGCCAGUAACUACUGUUGAAAAAUCAGUUGAGCCUUUAUUUCUGCCAUCUACUCCUCUGUUUAGUACAAACAAUGCGAUGGUAUCACGUGCUCAACAUUCUUCUGAUCCAAAGUCCAAAAAAAGGAAAAAGGUUACAACAGAGUCUGAGGAUCUUGGCCAGAAGGCCAUUCAUUUGCAGUCCCACCUAGUAUUAUCAACUCCUGUCAUCAGCAGCCAUAUAUCUACUGCUUUUGCCACCGAAACCCCUGUUCUGAAUGUGCCAGUAACUGCUGUGGAAAAGUCAGUUCAGUCUGUAUCUCCUC
rnacentral:lncRNA from 1 species